rnacentral:misc_RNA from 1 species
UCCGGCUUACACCGGCGGUCUCCUGUGAGUCCCCAUCUUUCAUGCUGGUAACACAGGACGAGGGUUGCGCUCGUUGGCGGACUUAACCGUACACCUCACGGCACGAGCUGACGACAGCCAUGCAACAAGUGUCUUCACGUCCCCUUGUGGGGGAGGGGGCCCUUUCUGGCCCUUACGAUCGAUGUCAAACCUGGGUAAGGUUCUUCGGUUAGUAUCGAAUUAAUCCACAUGCUCCACCGCUUGUGCGGGUCCCCGUCAAUUCAUUUGAGUUUCAACCUUGCGGCCGUACUCCCCAGGCGGGAUACUUAGUGCGUUAGCUGCGGCACAAGAGGGGUCGAUACCUCUUACGCCUAGUAUCCAUCGUUUAGGGCGUGGACUAC